CUACGGGACGCAGCAGUGAGGAAUAUUGCACAAUGGGGGGAACCCUGAUGCAGCAACGCCGCGUGGAGGAUGACGCAUUUCGGUGUGUAAACUCCUUUUAUAUGUCAAGAAAAUGACGGUAGCAUAUGAAUAAGCACCGGCUAACUCCGUGCCAGCAGCCGCGGUAAUACGGAGGGUGGAAGCGUUACUCGGAAUCACUGGGCGUAAAGGACGCGUAGGCGGGUUGGAAAGUCAGGUGUGAAAUCCUACAGCUUAACUGUUGAACUGCACUUGAAACUUCUAAUCUAGAGUAUGGGAGGGGGAGAUGGAAUUAGUGGUGUAGGGGUAAAAUCCGUAGAUAUCACUAGGAAUACCUAAAGCGAAGGCGAUCUCCUGGAACAUUACUGACGCUAAGGCGUGAAAGCGUGGGGAGCAAACAGGAUUAGAUACCCGCGUAGUC
rnacentral:rRNA from 1 species